rnacentral:sRNA from 1 species
GGUGAGUGCGGUGGGGGUGGCGGGCGCCGGGCCGGGGCUGAGGUUGCGGUCGCUCCUCUGGGGGAUGCGGCCCGGCCCGGGAGGGAGAACCGCGGCUCGGGAACGGAGGUCCGGCGGCGCCCGGACAGCGUCCGUUCCCAAGCCCAGCCCGCGGCGAGCGCCCACCCCCUAACCCCCUUGCAGGCAUGGAGGAACCUGCAUGGACACGGAGGCCGAGACUGUGGCUACUGAGGCUCCCCCGCGGCCCGUCAACUGCCUGGAGGCCGAAGCCGCGGCGGGGGCGGCGGCCGAGGACUCCGGCGCCGCACGAGGCAGCCUGCAGCCGGCCCCGGCCCAGCCCCCUGGGGACCCCGCAGCCCAGGCCUCGGUCAGCAACGGCGAAGACGCGGGCGGCGGCGCGGGCAGGGAGCUGGUGGACUUGAAGAUCAUCUGGAACAAGACCAAGCAUGACGUGAAGUUCCCCCUGGACAGCACAGGCUCCGAGCUGAAACAGAAGAUCCACUCGAUUACAGGUCUCCCGCCUGCCAUGCAGAAAGUCAUGUAUAAGGGACUCGUCCCCGAGGAUAAAACAUUGAG